rnacentral:rRNA from 2 species
GUUUGACCUCGGAUCAGGUAGGAAUACCCGCUGAACUUAAGCAUA